CAGUAGGGAAUCUUCCGCAAUGGGCGAAAGCCUGACGGAGCAACGCCGCGUGAGUGAUGAAGGUCUUCGGAUCGUAAAACUCUGUUAUUAGGGAAGAACAAAUGUGUAAGUAACUAUGCACAUCUUGACGGUACCUAAUCAGAAAGCCACGGCUAACUACGUGCCAGCAGCCGCGGUAAUACGUAGGUGGCAAGCGUUAUCCGGAAUUAUUGGGCGUAAAGCGCGCGUAGGCGGUUUUUUAAG
rnacentral:rRNA from 1 species